GGCGCCAUACCCAAGUGGUUAAGGGACGGGUUUGCAAAACCUGCACUCGCCGGUUCGAAUCCGGCUGGCGCCUCCA
rnacentral:tRNA from 1 species